rnacentral:rRNA from 1 species
AUUGAACGCUGGCGGCAGGCUUAACACAUGCAAGUCGAGCGGUAGCACAAGAGAGCUUGCUCUCUGGGUGACGAGCGGCGGACGGGUGAGUAAUGUCUGGGAAACUGCCUGAUGGGGGGGGAUAACUACUGGAAACGGUAGCUAAUACCGCAUAACGUCGCAAGACCAAAGAGGGGGACCUUCGGGCCUCUUGCCAUCAGAUGUGCCCAGAUGGGAUUAGCUAGUAGGUGGGGUAAUGGCUCACCUAGGCGACGAUCCCUAGCUGGUCUGAGAGGAUGGCCAGCCACACUGGAACUGAGACACGGUCCAGACUCCUACGGGAGGCAGCAGUGGGGAAUAUUGCACAAUGGGCGCAAGCCUGAUGCAGCCAUGCCGCGUGUGUGAAGAAGGCCUUCGGGUUGUAAAGCACUUUCAGCGAGGAGGAAGGUGGUGAACUUAAUACGUUCAUCAAUUGACGUUACUCGCAGAAGAAGCACCGGCUAACUCCGUG